rnacentral:lncRNA from 1 species
CAUGCAGGCUCUGAGGAUUGGAUUCAGGUCAUGAGGCUUGCCCGCAAGUGGCAUUUGCCAUCUCACCAGCCCUCCCCAAUCAAAGACAAUGUCCACACGAAGGAUGUUUUAAAUGAAGUUCACGCCGGUGGUGACAGAUUAUGCACUUAGACUAUCCGCUGAGCCGAACACAUCUCCAGCCCCCAGGAUGGAUGCCUAGCAAAUGCUUCUUGGGUGCAUGAAUACAAGAAGGUUAUUUAGUAAAGCAGACAAUGGAAAACUUAUGCCAUCGCAGGUCUAGACCCCAGAAGAAGCUUCAGG